rnacentral:rRNA from 1 species
GCUAAACGCGAAGAACCUUACCAGGCCUUGACAUGCUGAGAACCUGCCAGAGAUGGCGGGGUGCCUUCGGGAACUCAGACACAGGUGCUGCAUGGCUGUCGUCAGCUCGUGUCGUGAGAUGUUGGGUUAAGUCCCGCAACGAGCGCAACCCUCGCCCUUAGUUGCCAUCAUUUAGUUGGGCACUCUAAGGAGACCGCCGGUGACAAACCGGAGGAAGGUGGGGAUGACGUCAAGUCAUCAUGGCCUUUAUGGCCAGGGCUACACACGUGCUACAAUGGCAGGUACAGAGGGAAGCCAACCGGCGACGGGGAGCUAAUCCCAGAAAGCCGAUCCCAGUCCGGAUCGGAGUCUGCAACUCGACUCCGUGAAGUCGGAAUCGCUAGUAAUCGCGGAUCAGCUAUGCCGCGGUGAAUACGUUCCCGGGUCUUGUACACACCG